rnacentral:siRNA from 1 species
AGCAAAAGAUAUUAUGGCGAC